rnacentral:rRNA from 1 species
AUUGAACGCUGGCGGCAUGCUUUACACAUGCAAGUCGAACGGCAGCGCGGGCUUCGGCCUGGCGGCGAGUGGCGAACGGGUGAGUAAUACAUCGGAACGUGCCCAGUAGUGGGGGAUAGCUCGGCGAAAGCCGGAUUAAUACCGCAUACGACCUGAGGGUGAAAGCGGGGGAUCUUCGGACCUCGCGCUCUUGGAGCGGCCGAUGGCAGAUUAGCUAGUUGGUGGGGUAAAGGCCUACCAAGGCGACGAUCUGUAGCUGGUCUGAGAGGACGACCAGCCACACUGGGACUGAGACACGGCCCAGACUCCUACGGGAGGCAGCAGUAGGGAAUUUUGGACAAUGGGCGAAAGCCUGAUCCAGCAAUGCCGCGUGUGUGAUGAAGGCCUUCGGGUUGUAAAGCACUUUUGGCGGGAACGAAAAGGACUGUGCCAAUACCACGGUUCGAUGACGGUACCCGCAGAAUAAGCACCGGCUAACUACGUG